CGUAGACAAUCACAAUAACUGACAACUCGGCAAUAUUCGCGUAAAAGAUUGGAAGCCACAACGUUGUACUCUAAAUACAGCAUUUUGCUGCCCCAUGUAUGAUGAGAAUACGAGGAUCGGAACACUUCCAUUGGGUCAUCGUCACUUUCUUUAGAUUGUCAACACCAUGAUCAUCAAACAGGCAGCACUUGAAGAAACUGCGUAAUGGUUUGUGCGGUUGGUAGACCCAAAAGUACAAUCUAAUAAUUAAAAGUGAAUCCAUAACCAAAUGAAUAGUGGUUGGUCAUCAUAUUAUCAUUGCAGCACACUUUAUAGCUUAGGAGGAAUUGACCGCAGGCGCUAAGGCCCAUAAACAUGUGACUGAAACGGGAUAAAAUAUUAUGAUUUACACAUAU